UUUGUGGCACCGUUAGGAACUGUUAUCAUAAUUAGGGACAAUAUGCAACUGUUCUGCAUGUCAAGCAAAGAACAUUUACUUUUAAAAUAAAGUUUCCAAAGAAUACAAUUUUCUUUUUUAUUUCAUUAAAUCAAUUCAACUUGUUUCAAGACGGGCCGAUAUGCUAAUCUGAGAUGUUUCUGCCACUAACUAGAGUUACAAAUUCUACCCUAAUCAUUACAAUUCCUUCUCACUUUUAUCUUCAGAUAUAAGUGUAGGUCCUACUCUGAAGGACAUUGGUUUUGGGGACUCUGCUGCUCCAGACUGUGGACAGUGCUGGGUGCUGCUGGUCACACUGUGCCCGUCCUCUGCUCUCCUCUCUUUGGUCCUCUACCUCCUCUGCAGUCACAUGGUUUGUGCCAGAAAACACCCUGCCGCCUCUCAGGAAAACAGACCUUUAUUACCGCAACAUGAGGAUGAAAACUAUAGCCGUGUAUUUUAUGCUGUGUUGAAAACUCCACAAAAAAAAGGAUCUCACAGCUUCUUCGUUUGCAGUACGAGUGGGCUUUGAGAGGCGGAUUGGUUAGAGUUCCUCCCUCCACAACACACACAGCCCAACGCACACACAUAGACUCACUCACAACAACAAACAAACACACAGUCGUACACACAAACACACAUGAAUUGAAAUUCCCUUGUGUUUCAAGGUAUUUUGAUGCCUUGAAAUUAGUACAACUUGGAUUGAUUUACAAUAUGUUACACAGAAAACAUUGAAAUAUGCAUUUGUAUAUUGUUUUAUACCCAAAAGUAACCUGUCUAUUAUAUGUUUUCAUUAAA